rnacentral:rRNA from 1 species
CCUACGGGCGGCAGCAGUGGGGAAUAUUGGACAAUGGGGGGAACCCUGAUCCAGCGAAGCCGCGUGAGUGAAGAAGUCCUUCCGUAUGUAAAGCUCCAUCAGCAGGGAAGAAAAUGACGGUACCUGACUAAGAAGCUCCGGCUAACUUCGUGCCAGCAGCCGCGGUAAUACGUAGGGGGCAAGCGUUAUCCGGAUUUACUGGGUGUAAAGGGAGCGUAGACGGUGCAGCAAGUCUGAUGUGAAAGGUCGGGGCCCAACCCCGGGAUUGCAUUGGAAACUGUUGAACUGGAGUACAGGAGAGGUAAGCGGAAUUCGUGGUGUAGCGGUGAAAUGCGUAGAUAUUAGGAAGAACUCCGGUGGCGAAGGCGGCUUACUGGACUGUAACUGACGUUGAGGCUCGAAAGCGUGGGGAGCAAACAGGAUUAGAUACCCCUGUAGUC